AAUUAAGCAUAUAAUUAAGCGGAGGAAAAGAAACUAACCAAGAUUCCCCCAGUAAGGGCGACUGAAGUGGGAAUAGCUCACUAUGUGAAUCUGCGCAUGCAUUUGCGUCGAAUUGUGGUAUUGAAGCAUCUACAUCACUGAAGGUCUAGCUAAGUCCCUUGGAACAGGGCAGCAUAGAGGGUGAGACUCCCGUUUGCUAGACUUUUGGAGUGGAUGUUAACGAGUCGAGUUGUUUGGGAUUGCAGCUCUAAGUUGGUGGUAAAUUCCAUCAAAAGCUAAAUAUGGGUGAGAGACCGAUAGCGCACAAGUACCGUGAGGGAAAGAUGCAAAGAACUUUGAAAAGAGAGUUAAAGAGUACCUGAAAUUGCUGAAAAGGAAGCGAAGGAAACCAGUGUUCUAUUGUUUCAUAUUUCCCUUCCUGCUUGCAGGUGGGGCGCUGUGAGUGAUACUGUCAGACUUAAUGGAUUAGUUUGGAUCUAUGCAAAUAGGUAGUUGACCUAUUGUACUUGCAAAGUAGUCCACUGAGACUUUUGACAAAAUGGUUUUCUUUCCCCCGUCUUGAAACA
rnacentral:rRNA from 1 species